UCUUCAUCUGGAAGUGCCCGUUGGGGGUGGGCUAGAGAGAGGCAUCAUCACUGCCUCCGCAGGUGGACAUGACAGUGCAGGAGGCAGGGGGUGGAGGGGCCUGCUGUCAGCGAGUGCCCUGACUGGCCAGGGAGCCACCAGGGCUGAUUGCUGAGCUGAUUUAGGCCAGCUGAGCGCCCCAGCUCUGGGGUUGAGCUAGUGAGGUGGGGGAAAGGAUGUUGGCUGCUUGGGUCACCAAGAGCUCUGUGCUUGCAGCUUUUGCUGGCACAGGCUUUGGUGCCAACUGUGGCUGCACGUACAACCAAGUUGAGGAACCUGGCCCCUUGGGUUCUCCCUGUGCUGGGAUGGAGACACAUUCCUGGGAGAUGUCUCUGCGCUCUUGUGGCAACCUGAGCAGCCUGGUAAGGAUGCAGAGCAGGUGUCCUGGUGGUGCUGCAGGGCUAAAGAUGGGACAGAUCAUCUCUGUGAGAAUUUGAGUGCUGGCACAUGACGUGAAGAUUAUUUCAAGUCCAAAAAUUCUAUUACUUUCCCUGGUAUUUUCAUCAUGGUUUUUGACCUCAGCCAGAGGCGAAGGAAUAGAAGAAUGAGCGGGGAGAACAUCCCCUUCUGUGCGAUGCAAAGGAGCCUCCACCUACAUCUUCAGCGCCUCUUCCUUCUCUGUAGAAUCCAUGAAAAUGGAUAAAUAGCAUAUCUCAAUUAGAAGAGGGUUCAAAAUGUGCCAGAUCCUGCACUACGAAGUCCCUAUGAACAAGGAAUCCUGCCUGCAGCACCUCCCCUCCAGGAGGAUGAAGUGAGGAGUGAAAUACAGGCAGAUGUCUGUCUGUUUGGUGCUCAGUGUCCCCAGUAAGACUGUUGAUUAUCAGUUAGUCUUAUGCAUUCAGUAUACUUUUGUGCACAGGUUUUUAUAUACAGGUGAUGUUUCUGAUAAAUGGAGUGAGUUUAUGUAGUACUGGAGGAGGGGAAAGCAAGCCUCUGAAUUAGGGUGAGUAGGUUUCUUCAGGAGAUGCUUAGAAGAGUGUCAAAUAGUCUUAGUGCCCUUCUGUCUGUGCUCCUGGACCUUCCCUCAGCAAUCGCUCUGCCUGACUCCCCCCUGGGGAGCAGUGCUCCCUAAGGUUGUGCAUCCCCAUCUGCAGAGGGCUGUUUUGGUGUGUUUGUGGUUUUUCCACAAAGAGUUAUUACAGGUUGCACAGGUACCCUACACCCGAGUGCCUGCUUGAGGUGGGGUGGGCUCAGGGCUUGAUAACAGAAUUGGGGAAUGCCUCACUCUCAUGUCCCUUUUGCUUCCAGGAAGGUCAGGGGGUAUUCUUUAAUGAAUUAAUAAUUAAUUUAAAUUCAGAAUUUUUGGGGAGGUGUUAUUUAUGUAACUUAUCCCAGUACAAAACUUUACAAUGGAGCUGGAAAAUUUUCUUUCUGGGUGCUUCAUCUGUUGGUUGUUUUUUUUUUUUUUUUCCAGUUUACUUGGUAUUGAUUAGUAUUUAUUGUUUUGCUUGUUUGCUCUGGUUUCCUAUUUUUAGUGUGAAGUAGUAAUCUAUGAAAAUAGGUCUUCAAAGUGUUUCAGUUUGUGUACUCCAGUCACAGGGCUCCAAAAUUUCCUGGUUUUCCUUUUAUUUUUUAUUCCUGAAUGUCAUUUGGGGGAGCAAACUCAGCUCUUCAAUUUACUUAAAGGUUACCCUAUGCUGCCUCAGUUAAAUUUUAACCAAAAAUGCUGUUCACUGCAGUUCAGUGAUCAACUGAGAGCCAAUUUACUGUCUCUUCACAGACCUCGGUUAGGAGUUGUUCUAAAAUGCUCAGCAAAAAUACUGUAAACUCCCCCGAUCCUGCAAAACAAACCUUUAAAGCCUGCUGUUCUUGUUGUCAGGCUUGUCAGAAGUUCUGUCCCCGAGUUACCAGCACAGAAUCAGGCCAACUUCUUCUAAUAAGAGGCUUUUAUUUUACUUGUUCCUUCCUUUUGCUCUUCGAAAGUCAGGGAAGUAAAUUUCUUUACGGUAUAGCUAGUAUUUAAUUACAGAUAGUUCACAACUGCAUCUUUUCCUAUCUUCUCUAUAUUAUGAGUAUUUUGACUUGCUUACUCUUUUCUUCUGCUUCCUACACAAGGCAGCUUUGUGUUGCCUCGUUUUAAAGUAUUAACCUCUAACGCUGUAUUUGGAUCUGCAAUUACUUUUAUUGGUUAAAGUUCCUUUGAUUGUUUUAGCUGGGUGCUGCACUCAGCCAAGGCACAGUAAUAAAAUAAUACUCAAAAUUUUGGGAGCUAGGAAGAAUCCAUCUGUCCGUGGUAUUUAUAUAAUGCUUUACGUUUUCAGGAUAUAUCUCAUGUACCAACUAGUCUUUGAAACAGUCCAAAACACUUCUGCAUUUAAAAAAAAAAAAAAGCUGUCGUCUUUCCUACUGUUCUUGCACUGACUGUAAUGACGGAGAAAUAUGGAAUGAUCUGAUGGUGCCUGUGCUGCAGAGUUUAUAUAUUGUAAGCAUGAGAUAAGAAAUGUCAGCUGUUCACAGAUGAGGAAAAUAACAAACUGUCAGCAACGUAAACAUUAUUUUCUUCAAUAGGCAUUGCAGCUAAGGGAGAUAAAUGACAUUUGUGUGAUUGAAUGAUUUUUUUCAUGCUAUAUCUGAGGGGAAAAAAAAGCAAACUAACAAUAGCUAAGAGGAGCUAAUCCACCACCACCGCCGCCUUUCCAAGGGAAUCAGGAAUGGAUGGCUCCUACAUUUAAAGCAGUCGUCCUUCACACAUUGUCUAUUUGGUAGGAAUAGGUCUGUGCAGGCAGGAGUGGGAGCAGAAUUUGGCUGCAAAGCCUUGAUGACUGGUGAGGGUACGCAGAAGGGCAGGACCUGCACUGUAUUUGCAUAACUGACUGUUUGGGGUGGGGGGCACAACAAAAACCAACACUUUCAAUUAUAAACCAAAAAGAUAGUGCACAAGAAGUGCUGAGAUAGAGAUGCCUUUAAUCCUACACUUUCAGUCACAUGACGGGACAGGACCACACUUCGAGGCAAUCUGAUUUUCUUCCCAUAGAUUUAGGAUUCUGCUGCGAUUCCCUAAUUGCUGUGGAAUGCUGGUAAUAACAAGCAGGGCAUUAUCGCUCCAUCUGGAUUGUACAACACUAGAAUAGUUUGCAUUUCUUUAGUCUCAUUUACCAUGGGGAAUUUAGAUAUAACCAGACUGGUGAACCUACAUGACUAAUACUCCCUUUUUAGGAGUGCAGAAAUUGAGACAAAUGGUGAUGUUGUUUUCUUCAUGCUGAACAUAGUAGGAAAGCCUGAGAUUGGAAUGGGGUCUUCAUAUCCUUAACGGGUUAAUUGCUUUAACCUUAAACUAUGUGUGCAGCUUGCACAAAUAUCUUCAUUCCCACUUUAUUUUGGACAUACUGAAGAAAAUUAUAGCAGGAAUAUAUAUAUUUAUAUUUAGCCAAAUUUUUAAUGGCAUAAAAUCCACACAUUAUUUCUAAAUACCACUUUUUAUGAGGAAAUAUAAAUUAGGAUCUUUACAACAAAGUGCAAGAUUCCAGUUUCUCAGAGGAAGACAUUGGCUUCUCCAUUCGGACAGGUGGGAUGUACUACAGUUUCAAUGAAAGUGUCAUGCUGACUACUCCUAAAUGCUAGCUUUUUUUUUUUUUUCCCCCCACUCACAGUGGAAUAGUACAAGUAAUAUAAUGCAGUAGUCUAGAUGGUGAUUACCAGACAGUGGCAGAGAAAGAAUUGAACAGUUUGAAGAUGAGGACCGUGUGUGGCUUGAAUUCUCUUCAUGAAAGGCUCUUCACAUGUGGGAAGCUGCAAGGCAUGACAGGCAAAAAUCAGAGGCUCUCCUUUGCAUGCAAGUGCACAAACAACUGCAUACCCCUUUUUUUUGAAGGAGAGGAAAACUUCGUAGUUGCAUAACUAUCAUGUUUAUCACUAGCACAGCUACUAGUAUUUCCAGCAGUGUACUAGUAUAUGUUAUGAGCCUAAAGGUGUAAAAUGAGACUUACAGGGAGGGGGAAGUUCUGCUCUGAAUUAGAAAGUUGGUGGGAGCUUAGGGUCCCAGAGGUACCUAAAUCUGUGUCCCCACUCCCUCCUUCCUCGCUGUUCUGAAGGAUCUGUACUGAAAUGACCAGCUCACUUCCCACAGCUUAUCAGCCAUCUGUUGAAUGCUACUGACCUUGACUGGACUGGAAUGAUUAUUUAGCUGUUGAGCUGUGGGAGAUAACGUUGGUCCAAGUUCCUGGCCAUACUUCAUCAGUUUUCAGAGAAGUGCAAGUAUGCAUGAUGAACCUAUCACAGCUGUGGUUUAAUGGGUAUAAACAAUUAAGCAAUUAUAAAUCAAUGAGCUCUGUAACUCUGGUAUUAUAAUAAUUACAUUUUAAAAGGCACUACUUAGUUACAACUCGGGGAUUAUUUACAGGCAAUAAUUAAGGUCAGGCUCACUUCCUCCUGUUACACAGAGUAUUUGUAUGAGCAGCAUGUCAAACAAUAAUUAAUUUAAGGCAAACCUAAUUGCAUAUUGUACUGAAGUGUGUCAUUACCCUAGAGAAUAUGAUCUUGUAUCUACCACUGGUUAGGUUUUAAGGGAAAAAUACAUCUUUUUUAAGUGAAAAGGCAAAUUGUCUUAAUGUUAUGCUUCAGUUAGAAAGGUGUUAUUUGCCCCAGUUUUUAUUAUUAUUAUUCAGCCCACAGGAAAGGGAAUAAAGUAACAGGAAAAGGAGUAUGGCACGCUGUGUGUAUGAAGCAAUCCUAUGAAGAAAGAAUAGAUGGGAAAAAUUAGUGCAAUCUUUUUACAGGAUUAUUCCCCACAGUAUAUUUCCCAGU